rnacentral:rRNA from 1 species
CAGGCUUAACACAUGCAAGUCGAGGGGCAGCAUGGUCUUAGCUUGCUAAGGCCGAUGGCGACCGGCGCACGGGUGAGUAACACGUAUCCAACCUGCCGUCUACUCUUGGACAGCCUUCUGAAAGGAAGAUUAAUACAAGAUGGCAUCAUGAGUCCGCAUGUUCACAUGAUUAAAGGUAUUCCGGUAGACGAUGGGGAUGCGUUCCAUUAGAUAGUAGGCGGGGUAACGGCCCACCUAGUCUUCGAUGGAUAGGGGUUCUGAGAGGAAGGUCCCCCACAUUGGAACUGAGACACGGUCCAAACUCCUACGGGAGGCAGCAGUGAGGAAUAUUGGUCAAUGGGCGAGAGCCUGAGCCAGCCAAGUAGCGUGAAGGAUGACUGCCCUAUGGGUUGUAAACUUCUUUUAUAAAGGAAUAAAGUCGGGUAUGGAUACCCGUUUGCAUGUACUUUAUGAAUAAGGAUCGGCUAACUCCGUGCCAGCAGCCGCGGUAAUACGGAGGAUCCGAGCGUUAUCCGGAUUUAUUGGGUUUAAAGGGAGCGUAGAUGGAUGUUUAAGUCAGUUGUGAAAGUUUGCGGCUCAACCGUAAAAUUGCAGUUGAUACUGGAUAUCUUGAGUGCAGUUGAGGCAGGCGGAAUUCGUGGUGUAGCGGUGAAAUGCUUAGAUAUCACGAAGAACUCCGAUUGCGAAGGCAGCCUGCUAAGCUGCAACUGACAUUGAGGCUCGAAA